GAGGGGGGGAGCUGCUGCAGACCCAUGUGGUGCUCUGCCUCAUGCCCUCUCAGCCUAACCUCUAAUUUCAGCAGAGAUGGGGUGUGUUUCUGUUCCGUGGUUAAGUCGCUGCAUGCUCACAGAGGCUUACUUCAAGCACGGGCUGCAAGGUUUUACUUUCUUCAUCAGGAUUCCUCUCAUGCCACGAAUGGGGAAAGUUCACAGUUGUUGGAGCUGAUAUUCCUAGAGAAAAAUGCUGAAAGCUACAUAUGGGGCAGUCCUGCUCCUCAGGGCCCACAGAAGCUCAGAUUCCUCCUGUCUACUUGCUCUGCCAAGUGUUGUUUUUGGUGGCUUAACGCCACUUCCACUCUCCAGCCAGUAGAAAGUGGAUCAGGCAUUAUGCAGAGCACGAAGAGGAGCACAUUGUAGUCUCUGACUUCAGAAGAAGCAGACAGCAAAGGUGGUUUCCUUCCUGGUGGAGAUUGCCGAUUGGACUACAGAAUGGCGAGAAUACUGUGAAAGGAGGAGCAUAGAAAUCCAAGUGUGAUCAGUCAGCAGGUCUUGGCCAGGAGCAUACACAGAAUAAACAAAUAAAUAAGUAAAGAGAGGAAGGGGAAGUAAUGUUAAGACUGUUCAAGACUUGGAAUACAGCUCUCCUAAAAAGCAGUCCUUUGAAGUCUUGGGAUACUACAGAAAGAUCCCAACAACCACUGAGCCUGGUUUCGAUUUUUGGAGGAAACACACCAGGUGAAUAAAGCAGUGUGACGUGAGAGAAAAGAGGGCGGCAAAGGUGAAUGGGAUCCCAGCCUUUCAAGGACUUGGGCAGAGCAACUGGAGGAGGUGUGAGUCCAGCCAACAGUGUGGAUCAGUUUCCUAGGCUGCCAUAACAAAGCACCAUAACCUGGUGGCUUAGAACAAUGGAAAGGCAUUUGCUCACGGUUCCAGAAGCUGUAGGUUAGAAACUAAGUGUGGCAGGGUCAUGGCCCCUCUGAAACCUAGGAGGGAAGGAUGCUUCCCUGCUUCUUCCUGCUUCUGCUAUCCCCUGAUGUUCCUGGGUUAGUGGCAGCAUAAUUCUGGCCUCUGCCUCUGUCUUAACGUGGUGUUUUUUCCUGUGUCUCUUCAUAUUGCCUUUUGUCUCUGUGCCUCUACCUCUGAGUCCAAAUUGCCCCUUUUUAUAAGGACAAUCACAUUGUCCUUAGUCACAUUGGAUUGGAUUAGGGCCCACUAUACAGACCUUGUUUUAACUUGAUUCUUCUAUCAAGACCCUGAGAAUCUCCAAAUAAGGCCACAUUCUGAGGAACUGUGGGUUUGGACUUCAACAUGUCUUUUUUGGGGGCCACAACUCAACCCAUACCAGCUUGCUUGAUGGAUAUUCAUAGCUGAUGUCAAAGUAAAUUUAAUUCUCAUCCUCAGAAGCAAGAAAGAUUCCACGACUAAGGCCAACAAUAACAUCCAGGGAGUUCGUUUCUUGAGCAACGACCAGCUCUUUGCAUAGCACGAAUUGCCAAAAAAGGCCAGCGUAGUCAUUUCUCGGCCAUGCACACCUGUGAUGUGGCAAGCCAU
ensembl:lncRNA novel transcript